UUCGGUGCAUUCCUCAGCGGGUUCAGCCACGCUACCCCAGACGGGGAUCACGGCACGUGAGGUCGGGUGUGGUGGCCGGGAUAGCAGAAGGCUUGCUCGGUAUAGCCGAGGAGAAACAAUGUCGACGUUCCUUCUGGUCGGUACUUGAGUCGCAUGUAGCACCCCGCCCACUUGCACCGUCGGUGGAGCUGCAGCAGGGCACCCGCCCUCUCUUGCAUGCUGGCAUAAUGAGAACGCCGACGACUGUGAUGGGAUGUUCUGCAGACUGUAUUGUUUAGGAGCUGCUACUGUCCUUUAAAGAAUUUCAGAACCGAUGCAGAUACCAAACUCUGUGAGAGAAUUGUCUUGCAGCAGCUAUGAGUAACGAGGUUCAUGCAGAAGCAAGCCAGAGAAGAACCUUUCCAUU